UGGCUCAGAACGAACGCUGGCGGCAUGCUUAACACAUGCAAGUCGCACGGGCAGGGCAACCUGUCAGUGGCGGACGGGUGAGUAACGCGUAGGUAUCUAUCCUCGGGUGGGGGACAACCACGGGAAACUGCGGCUAAUACCGCAUGAUGACUGAGGUCCAAAGGCGCAAGUCGCCUGGGGAGGAGCCUGCGUCCGAUUAGCUUGUUGGUGGGGUAAAGGCCUACCAAGGCUGCGAUCGGUAGCUGGUCUGAGAGGAUGAUCAGCCACACUGGGACUGAGACACGGCCCAGGAUCCUACGGGAGGCAGCAGUGGG
rnacentral:rRNA from 1 species